rnacentral:rRNA from 1 species
GCAAGGGAUUUUCCGCAAUGGCCGGAAGGCUGACGGAGCGACGCCGCGUGCGGGAUGACGUCUUUCGGGAUGUAAACCGCUGUUUCGGGGGAAGAGGAAGGACGGUACCCCGGGAGGAAGCCCCGGCAAACUACGUGCCAGCAGCCGCGGUAAUACGUAGGGGGCGAGCGUUGUCCGGAAUAAUUGGGCGUAAAGCGCGCGCAGGCGGAUUGGUCAGUCGGGCGUGAAAGCCCCCGGCUCAACCGGGGCGGGUCGCUCGGGACGGCCAGUCUGGAGGGGGUCAGAGGGGGGUGGAAGGCCCGGUGGAGCAGUGAAAUGCGUAGAGACCGGGCGGAACACUCGUGGCGAAGGCGGCCCCCUGGGGCUCAUCUGACGCUGAGGCGCGAAGGCCAGGGGAGCGAACGGGAUUAGAUACCCGAGUAGUCC